AGCGAACGCUGGCGGCAGGCUUAACACAUGCAAGUCGAGCGGGCCCUUCGGGGUCAGCGGCAGACGGGUGAGUAACGCGUGGGAACGUGCCCUUCGGUUCGGAAUAACCCUGGGAAACUAGGGCUAAUACCGGAUACGCCCUUAUGGGGAAAGGUUUACCGCCGAAGGAUCGGCCCGCGUCUGAUUAGCUUGUUGGUGAGGUAACGGCUCACCAAGGCGACGAUCAGUAGCUGGUCUGAGAGGAUGAUCAGCCACACUGGGACUGAGACACGGCCCAGACUCCUACGGGAGGCAGCAGUGGGGAAUAUUGGACAAUGGGGGCAACCCUGAUCCAGCCAUGCCGCGUGAGUGAUGACGGCCUUAGGGUUGUAAAGCUCUUUUACCCGGGACGAUAAUGACGGUACCGGGUGAAUAAGCCCCGGCUAACUUCGUGCCAGCCGCCGCCGUAA
rnacentral:rRNA from 1 species